GAUGAAGAACGUAGCGAAAUGCGAUACUUGGUGUGAAUUGCAGAAUCCCGUGAACCAUCGAGUCUUUGAACGCAAGUUGCGCCCGAAGCCAUUAGGCCGAGGGCACGCCUGCCUGGGCGUCACACGUCGUUGCCCCCCCAUCUACUCCUUCGGGAUUGCGGGGGGCGGAUGAUGGCCUCCCGUGCGCCUCGUCGCGCGGUUGGCAUAAAUACCAAGUCCUCGGCGACGCACGCCACGACAAUCGGUGGUUGCGAAACCUCGGUUGCCCGUCGUGUGCGGUCGUCGCGCAUCGAGGGCUCGAAAAAAUUGCCGGGCUCCGGCUCGGCUUUCAACGCGACCCCAGGUCAGGCGGGGUUACCCGCUGAAUUUAAGGAUAUCAAUAAGCGGAGGA
rnacentral:misc_RNA from 1 species